rnacentral:pre_miRNA from 1 species
UGGGAUUUGUGUAUGUGAUUGCAGUUGAUGUUCAUAGUAAUUACACAUGUAAAUCUCAGU